GUUAGUAAUGAGGUUGGGAGAUUGGGAACCAAUCUGGGCUAAAGCCAGCUUCAUCAAAUGGCUUGUUGGUAGUUAGUAAUGAGGUUGGGAGAUUGGGAACCGAUCUGGGCUAAAGCCAUCUUCAUCAAAUGGCUUGUUGUUAGUUAGUAAUGAGGUUGGGAGAUUGGAAACCGAUCUGGGCUAAAGCCAACUUCAUCAAAUGGCUUGUUGGUAGUUAGUAAUGAGGUUGGGAGAUUGGGAACCGAUCUGGGCUAAAGCCAACUUCAUCAAAUGGCUUGUUGGUAGUUAGUAAUGAGGUUGGGAGAUAUGGGAACCGAUCUGGGCUAAAGUCAACCUCGUCAAAUGGCUUGUUGGUAGUUAGUAAUGAGGUUGGGAGAUUGGGAACCAAUCUGGGCUAAAGCCAACUCCAUCAAAUGGCUUGUUGG
ensembl:lncRNA